rnacentral:misc_RNA from 1 species
GAUGAAGAACGUAGCGAAAUGCGAUAAGUAAUGUGAAUUGCAGAAUUCCGUGAAUCAUCGAAUCUUUGAACGCUCAUUGCGCCCUCUGGUACGCCGGGGGGCAUGCCUGUCCGAGCGUCAUUUGCAACCCUCAAGCCCGGCUUGUGUGAUGGGUGCCGUCCCCUACGGGACGCGCCCCGAAGGCAAUGGCGGCGUCGCGGUUAUCCGAUCAGCCAAAGUGUAUGGGGCUUUGUCACUCACUUUACGGCCCGGACCGGCGCCAGUCCGAAUCAAUCUUUUUUCUAAAGUUGACCUCGGAUCAGGUAGGGAUACCCGCUGAACUUAAGCAUAUCAAUAAGCGGAGGA